rnacentral:piRNA from 1 species
AGCUCAAAGGACAGAGUUCGCUUGUGUGGU